UUCCUCGACCUGAUCGCAGCGCACCACCUUGUGCGCUGCGAGGCGAUCGAGCGCCGCCCCGUGAUCUUCGGUGAAGAGCUCCAGCCAUAUCUCUGC
rnacentral:sRNA from 1 species